rnacentral:rRNA from 1 species
UUUUGGCCAAUGGGCGAAAGCCUGAUCCAGCAAUGCCGCGUGAGUGAUGAGGGCCUUAGGGUUGUAAAGCUCUUUUACCCGGGAUGAUAAUGACAGUACCGGGAGAAUAAGCUCCGGCUAACUCCGUGCCAGCAGCCGCGGUAAUACGGAGGGAGCUAGCGUUGUUCGGAAUUACUGGGCGUAAAGCGCACGUAGGCGGCUUUGUAAGUUAGAGGUGAAAGCCUGGAGCUCAACUCCAGAAUUGCCUUUGAUACUGCAUCGCUUGAAUCCAGGAGAGGUGAGUGGAAUUCCGAGUGUAGAGGUGAAAUUCGUAGAUAUUCGGAAGAACACCAGUGGCGAAGGCGGCUCACUGGACUGGUAUUGACGCUGAGGUGCGAAA